GUCCUCACUGAACUCGGUCCAGCUUCCUCCGAACAACGUGGAGUUCCAAGUGGAUGCUUUGGGAGGUCCACGUGGUGGUUGUCAUCCAAGCCAGCUGCAACCCUCUCUCAUCACAUUUGUUGAGGGGCCCAGAGACCACGUCUCAGCAGGAUGCCUGUCGCUCUCGUGAAAGCAAGAGAAGCUGCUGCAGGUAUCAUGACCGCGUAGAGGCUAGAUCCUAACAUUGCAUUCUAACAGUAAGCCUCCCCCACUGUGCUGGUACUCAAAACCUCGCAUAACAAUGUAUACUCUUUGGUGACUUUGGAUGUACACAUGUUCACGGUAGUGUCAGCCAACCCAAUAAAAAACAUAUUUGGCCCCCGC